GGGUCCGUCUCCCUGUGACUGGCUAGAGUGUCCAUGGUGUCCUUGUGACCUGCGGCCAGUCCUGCGACCCAGACCUAGGAGCCCCCCCACAGCCUGCACCUCGCACUGUGCCAGCGCUCCUGCUGCCAGCCCACUCUGCCCAGCCCUGGGGCCGCAGCCUGGGGCCAGCCCUGUCUUGGAAGUACAGCUCAGAUCAACCCACUGACCUUCCAGCUCUGGCACCAGGCAGUGGACACGCUACCCAACACGCACGUGGGGUGCCUUACGUGACCUGCUGUGCCCUGCCCGGCCCUCGGCCCACCCCGCCUUGCCUCACUGUGGCAGCUGCAAGAAGCUGCCCAUCACUCACCACCCAGCAGGCCCGUAGAUGUGAAGCCUGUGCCCCACUGCUUGUCUACAACCCGCGGCCACCUGGAGGCCAUCAGGCUGCCUGCACCAGGUGCCCAUCCACACACAGGCCAGCAGGUGCACUGGCCCCGCCCACAGCUACCAUCACGGGGCCUCUCUGAACACAGAGAGGCCGGGCUUUAGCAGGCCCAGCCCCCGGCCCCCAGGGUACAGGUCUGCUGUUGGUGAGGGGCCUCGAGGGCCUUCUCAGAGGCACUGGACCUAGGAGAGGGCCAGGGCGGGGUGUGGCUGCCCCAGCAUUUCCUGGGGCGUGGCCCUUCUGUUUUUGCAGAAAUGCAGAUCUCCUCGCCACAGGCUGCCCCUCUGGCCAGGGUAGGUUUCUGUUGUCCAGGCCAAGCUGGGGGAAGUGAAAGAGCCCAGGGCAGGAGUUUUUGGUUUGGGGGCUGGUCCAGGGGGCCCCGGGCACCUGGUUGGGGCAGGUCUCUGGAGGGCACCUGAGGACCAGUGGGGGUGAGGCUGAGGCUGCUCUAGGGGUACGACAGCCCCUCGGCCCCCGGCCCCAGGGCUCUGGUGCUCACGUGCUGAUGGCCGUCAGGAGCUGUGCUGGGGCCAGCCGCCCUGGUGAGUGCAGAUCAUACCCUCCCUCCACUCCCACCUCCGAGCCCUCCCUGCCUGCCUGCCUGGCUCCGGGCUGCUGCCAGCCCUCUCCUUGGGCCCAGGCGUCCGGUGUGUCUGUCCCCAACCUGGGGCUGCACUUGCUUCCACCUGAGCCAUGGUGCUGAGCCCUGAGCCCCUCCUCCCACAGUGCUGCCACAUCUGCGGGGGCCACCCUGAGACUGCCCGCUGAGCAGAUGGACAUGGCCACGUGGCAGCAUGCUGCCUGACCCAGGGUCCCCGCCUUCCACCUGCCCACGAGGGCGGGGCCGGAGUGCCAAGUGCGGCGGUUCCCACACCUCCCAGGCCCUCCUCGCACCGAGACUACCCUCAGCCCGCUGGAUGGUGCCUCGCCCACCAUGUGUGAACACACGUGGCCAGCAGACCUUGCAGCCCAGGCCCCCAGUGUGGCCAGAGGUGCCACCAGCAGGAGAUGCACCGCGUCACCUGGCAGAGCCUCCCGUCCACGGAACGGCCACCACAGCGACGCCGUUGUCAGCUGCGUCUCCUGUGACCCUGCACGGCAGGGCAGUCCCUCCACCUGCAGCAGGACCUGUCACCCAGCACUGCCCACUUGUGCCCUGCCACAUGGUGGCAUCACGGGGACGCACAGAUGACGUGCUGGCUCCAUGUGGCCGAGGCCAUCGGGGAGUGAUGAGGAUACAGGCUCAUGGGGCGUGCUGUGGCAGGAGCUGAGAGUUCCACGUGCUCAGUCGUGGCCGGCGCCGUCCUGGAGGGUGCCGCCCUAGCCCUCUGCUCCUUCAGCACCUGCAGCGAGCUCUGAGACAGCUUCAUCUACAAGCACGCGGAGCCCACAGUGCCUGCCACGAGGGCCUGGCUCAGGGGCAGCACGGACCCAGGACAGCAGCUGGCAGCCUGCAGCCCUCAGCGCAGAGCGGGGCAUGGCUGUGGCCACGGUCAGGCCGGGGGCUGGUGCCGAGGGUGUGGCCGUAGCAACGGCAGAGGCAGAGGACGUGGCAGCAGGGUCUUUGGCCAUGGGGGACUCAGCAGUGAGGGAGGCAGCCACGCGGCAGAGGGAGCUGGGCCACACCAUCGGCAAGGAGCUUGGCACGGGGACCCGGCCCCCAGAAGGCAGGGGCAUCACGCAGGGCAGGGCCCAAGAACUCUGAGUCCGACUUCCGGCUUUCCAGUGGGGAGCUCAACCCUGAGGACCUUGUCCUGCGGGAGCUCCUGGAUGAGAGCCAGAACGUGACCGUGACCGGCAGGGAGGACGGCUGUCCGACGCCUUUGCCAGCCUGUCUCCCACAGCCAGCAGUAUAGGAACCGGUCCUCGGCCUCCUUCAGGCCCUGUGCAGGGUGCCAGCAGCCCAGGCUCGCCACGAGGCCUGGUGGUCAGCUCUCUCUGGUCCACACUGUCCUCGGGUGGGAGUGGUUCUACCCACUGGGCCUCGUCCUCCCGGCGCUGCCCCAGGCACUUGAUGGGAGCAGGCCUCUGCCUCCUUGGCCUGGAUAAGCCCAAGGGCACCCUCGCUGGACCCUGCCUCUGUUCCCAUGGCCCUGUGGAAGUAGCACAGGGAGGGGAGUGCCACAGCUUCCUGACCUUUGCCUGCCGCCUUGACAACACCCUCGGUGUCUGGGACCUGGGCCCCAGGUCUGGGGGCUGUGCACACGGCUGACGGUCAGUUUCAUGCUCGGUGGGAAGCUGGGUGUGGAGGUCUGAGGCCGGGGACUGCAUCCUACAUCCUGACAGCAAGCUAGAGCCCGCGCCAGGCUGCCUCUGUCGCCCCCAUUCAGCAAGGAGAAGGCAGUUCCAGCUCAGGAGCCUGCCCUCCACGCUCUCCGGGACCUGUCCGGCCACCUGCUGUCCCACGAGGGAGCCAUGGUGAGCAGGGAGCACCUGGUGCAGGCUGAGACUAUCGACGCCCCUGGGCCCCAAGGAGGCCGACGUGGCGGCUGCGUGCUGCCUCUCCCAGGUGCCGUGCCGGCGCUUGCAGGCCCACCGUCCCUACAAGCAGCUGGCGAGGACAGUGCUCAGGGCGUGGAUGCAGCCGCCUCGUGGUCGGCGUGCAGGACCCAGCGGCCACCGGCUCGAGGCUGUGCGCGAGAAGCGGGAUCUGCUGCCCCUGUCGCUGCCCUCCAGCACCGUGACAGCUGCCACCCACACACCCUGCAUCUCCCGGCCACUUUCUGGGAGCACACCCCGCCUGCUGCCCACCAUGGGUGGACCUCCUCCUCGGAUGGUGUGCGUCCUCCACCAGUCCUGCGGGACGUGGCUUCUGGAAGGCCCUGGCCGCUCAGCCUCAGUCUGCUCCUGCUGGAGAGAGUGGCGGUGGCUCCUGGCCGCGGCAGGCAGCUAGUACUGUGGCAACCUUGCCCAUCCGUGGGUACCUGGACGUGGCCUGCAGCGGCAGAUCCUGCUGGUCCUGGGACAGGGCUCCGUGUACACCCCAGGGACGUCAGCAGCCUCUGGCCCGCAAGCCAGAACCACAGGCAGUGCACUUGCAGGUGGCAUGGAGGUUAAGGUGGCUGGAUCCUGCAUGGCCAACGUCCUGGUUUGAGUCCCAGACCUGCUGGCUGGAGAAACAUGCUGGGUGUGUGCG